UCCGUAGGGUGCAAGCGUUAAUCGGAAUUACUGGGCGUAAAGCGUGCGCAGGCGGUUAUGUAAGGCAGAUGUGAAAUGCCCGGGCUUAACCUGGGAACUGCAUUUGUGACUGCAUGGCUAGAGUUUGGCAGAGGGGGGUAGAAUUCCACGUGUAGCAGUGAAAUGCGUAGAUAUGUGGAGGAACACCGAUGGCGAAGGCAGCCCCCUGGGUCAAGACUGACGCUCAUGCACGAAAGCGUGGGGAGCAAACAGG
rnacentral:rRNA from 1 species